GACGAACGCUGGCAGCGUGCUUAACACAUGCAAGUCGAACGGAAAGGCCCUGCUUUUGUGGGGUGCUCGAGUGGCGAACGGGUGAGUAACACGUGAGUAACCUGCCCUUGACUUUGGGAUAACUUCAGGAAACUGGGGCUAAUACCGGGUAGGAGCUCCUGCUGCAUGGUGGGGGUUGGAAAGUUUCGGCGGUUGGGGAUGGACUCGCGGCUUAUCAGCUUGUUGGUGGGGUAGUGGCUUACCAAGGCUUUGACGGGUAGCCGGCCUGAGAGGGUGACCGGCCACAUUGGGACUGAGAUACGGCCCAGACUCCUACGGGAGGCAGCAGUGGGGAAUAUUGCACAAUGGGCGGAAGCCUGAUGCAGCAACGCCGCGUGCGGGAUGACGGCCUUCGGGUUGUAAACCGCUUUCGCCUGUGACGAAGCGUGAGUGACGGUAAUGGGUAAAGAAGCACCGGCUAACUACGUG
rnacentral:rRNA from 1 species